rnacentral:snRNA from 1 species
AUCGCUUCUCGGCCUUUUGGCUAAGAUCAAGUGUAGUAUCUGUUCUUAUCAGUUUAAUAUCUGAUACGCCCCCGAUUCGGGGGCAACGUAUUAAACGCAUUUUUAGAACAGGGAGCUGAAUAAGGGGCUCGCUCCGUUCGCUCCACGCAUCGACCUGGUAUUGCAGCGCCUCCGGGAACGGUGCCCCCUUU